GUCCCCUUUCUUUCUGUCUCUCUCUGCGGCACCACCAAAACCUCUCUCUCUCAGACACUCCCUUUCUCUCUCUUGAUCUGUCACGUUCUCUCUCAAAAACUCUCGUUCUCCUCCGAUUUCGACCAUCUCUCGCUCUUUAAUCUCUAAAAAUGCCUUUGAGACUCGAAAUCAAGAGGAAACUCGCGCAAAGAUCAGAGAGAGUAAAAUCUGUGGAUCUGCAUCCAUCUGAGCCAUGGAUUUUAGCAAGUUUGUACUCUGGAACUGUGUGCAUCUGGAACUACCAGUCACAGACAAUGGCGAAAUCAUUUGAAGUCACUGAAUUACCAGUUAGGUCAGCGAAGUUUAUAGCACGCAAGCAAUGGGUUGUUGCUGGAGCUGAUGAUAUGUUUAUUCGUGUAUACAAUUAUAACACAAUGGAUAAGGUUAAAGUAUUUGAGGCACACACGGAUUACAUUAGGUGUGUGGCUGUCCAUCCUACCCUGCCAUAUGUGCUAUCAUCUUCUGAUGACAUGCUCAUAAAACUUUGGGAUUGGGAGAAAGGUUGGGUGUGUACUCAGAUCUUUGAGGGCCACUCUCAUUAUGUGAUGCAAGUGACAUUUAAUCCAAAAGAUACCAACACUUUUGCUAGUGCAUCUCUGGAUCGCACCAUUAAGAUAUGGAAUCUUGGCUCUCCAGACCCUAAUUUUACACUGGAUGCCCAUCAGAAAGGGGUAAAUUGUGUUGAUUACUUUACAGGCGGUGAUAAACCAUAUCUAAUCACGGGUUCUGAUGAUCAUACUGCUAAGGUGUGGGACUAUCAAACCAAAAGUUGUGUCCAGACACUGGAAGGCCACACACACAAUGUUUCUGCAGUAUGCUUCCAUCCUGAACUUCCCAUAAUAAUAACAGGUUCUGAGGAUGGGACUGUUCGAAUAUGGCAUGCUACCACUUAUAGGCUCGAGAACACGUUGAAUUAUGGUCUUGAAAGAGUUUGGGCUGUUGGAUACAUGAAAGGUUCACGCCGGGUUGUAAUCGGCUAUGAUGAAGGAAGUAUUAUGGUAAAACUUGGUAGAGAAGUGCCUGUGGCAAGUAUGGACAACAGUGGAAAAAUAAUAUGGGCUAAGCAUAAUGAAAUUCAGACUGUGAAUAUAAAGAGUGUGGGAGCAGAUUUUGAGGUUACUGAUGGAGAAAGAUUGCCUUUGGCUGUUAAGGAGUUAGGAACCUGUGAUCUUUACCCACAAAGCCUAAAACAUAACCCAAAUGGGAGGUUUGUUGUCGUUUGUGGAGAUGGUGAGUACAUUAUAUAUACAGCUUUGGCAUGGAGGAAUAGGUCUUUUGGUUCGGCAUUGGAAUUUGUAUGGUCAUCAGAUGGUGAAUAUGCUGUCAGAGAAAGUACAUCAAAGGUUAAGAUUUUCAGUAAGAAUUUCCAGGAAAAGAAGAGUGUCCGACCAACAUUUUCAGCUGAGCAUAUUUUUGGAGGAACUUUAUUGGCAAUGUGCUCAAAUGAUUUUAUUUGUUUCUAUGACUGGGCUGAAUGCAGGCUGAUUCGACGAAUUGAUGUUAAUGUCAAAAACCUCUAUUGGGCUGAUAGUGGGGAUUUGGUGGCCAUUGCCAGUGAUACAUCAUUUUACAUCCUGAAGUACAAUCGCGAUGUAGUUACUUCUUACUUGGAUAGUGGAAGACCAGUGGAUGAACAAGGUGUUGAGGAUGCCUUUGAACUUCUUCAUGAGACAAAUGAAAGAGUUAGAACUGGUAUAUGGGUUGGAGACUGUUUCAUUUACAACAACUCCUCUUGGCGGCUUAAUUACUGUGUUGGUGGUGAGGUAACCACAAUGUUUCAUUUGGACCGGCCUAUGUAUUUGUUGGGAUAUCUAGCUAAUCAAAGCCGGGUGUAUCUCAUAGACAAAGAGUUCAAUGUUAUAGGAUACACGUUACUUCUCAGUUUGAUUGAGUAUAAGACUCUUGUGAUGCGUGGUGACCUGGAACGGGCCAAUGAACUUUUACCUUCAAUUCCCAAAGAACAUCAUAAUAGUGUGGCUCGUUUCUUGGAAUCACGGGGUAUGAUAGAGGAUGCCCUGGAAGUAGCUACUGACCCUGAUUACCGAUUUGAGCUAGCGAUGCAGCUUGGCAGAUUAGAGGUUGCAAAGGACAUUGCUACAGAAGUGCAAAGUGAGUCAAAAUGGAAGCAAUUGGGAGAAUUAGCUAUGUCCACUGGAAAGUUAGAAAUGGCUGAGGAAUGUUUAAAGCAUGCGAUGGACUUGAGUGGUUUGUUGCUGCUCUAUUCUUCUUUAGGAGAUGCUGACGGAAUAUCAAAACUUGCAUCCCUUGCUAAAGAACAGGGGAAGAACAACGUUGCCUUCCUUUGUUUGUUCAUGUUGGGUAAAUUGGAAGAGUGUCUGCAGCUGUUGGUGGACAGCAAUCGGAUCCCUGAGGCUGCUUUGAUGGCACGGUCUUAUCUUCCAAGCAAGGUCUCAGAGAUAGUCGCUCUGUGGAGGAAAGACCUUAAUAAGGUUAAUCCAAAAGCUGCUGAAUCUUUGGCUGAUCCUGAAGAGUAUCCUAAUUUAUUUGAGGACUGGCAAGUUGGUCUUGCCAUUGAAUCUAAAGUUUCCGAGACAAGGAGUAUUUAUCCUCCUGCUGAGGAAUACCUGAACUGUGCUGACAGAUCACACAUUAACCUUGUGGAGGCUUUCAGAAACUUGCAAAUGGAGGAAGAAGAGCCUCUUGAAAAUGGAGAUGCAAGUCAUGAGGUUCAGAAUGGAGAGGAGAGCCAAGAAGAACAUAAUGGAGAAGAGGCUGUUGUGGUGGAUGCUGAUUCUACUGAUGGUGCAGUACUCGUUAAUGGUAACGAGGCUGAAGAAGAGUGGGGUACGAAUAAUGAAGGAACUCCAUCGGCCUAAAAGGCAAUUGGUUGGGCCAGUGUGAAAAUCCAAAUUUUGUCUCUGGAGCCUGAAGUCCCUAAUCAAUAUGCUACAGUGCUUACACCACGUCACUAGGUCUCACCAAGACAGUCGGUCCCAGCUAUAUUCAUUCCCUACUCAAGGUUGUUCCCGGAGGUGACCAAAAUAGAUGAUUGCAGGGACCGAUGGUCUCAGUUUCCAGUGGUGUGGUUUCAGUGCAUUGAAUUUUGUCAAACGGAGCACAUAUAAUACAAACAGAUUCUCGGCUUCGAUUACUCUUUUAGCCCAUCUUUUUAAUUGUUCUUUUAGCAUAUAUUCUUUUGAGGCCCCCUUUUCCUUUUUGUUUUUUUUCUUUUUAAAUUUUCUUGUGCCAUUGUGAAUGUAGAAAAGUUUGAAUUAGUGAGAUGCUUACCCAUUCAACCCUCCUUGCUCAUUUUUAAAAUUCUAUAUACUUGGAUUCCGAUCAUGUUCAAUUCAUGUUUUGGACAAUGGGACUGUAAACAUAACUCGGAAUCAUCAUUUACUUGUAUUAGUGAACAGGCUUGCCAUUUUAGAACAGUGAAUGGCCCUGUUCGGUUAGUAGUUUUUUGCAUAAGUUGGUCCAACAGAGUCCCCGGAUGGACUUUUAUAGCUCCGUUAUUUGCUUAUCAA